rnacentral:lncRNA from 10 species
AACCAGGCUGCCUGAGCUAGUAGUGGCAACCAGCUUGCGUCCGUUUCCAUGUUGUGGGAGAUUUGUUCUUUCGCUCUUUGUGGUAAAUCUUGCUACUGCUCACUCUUUGAGUCCACACUGCUUUUAUGAGCUGUAACACUCACCGGGAAGGUCUGCAGCUUCAAUCCUGAAGCCAGCGAGGCCACCAGCCCACCGGGAGGAACGAACAACUCCAGACGCACCGCCUUAAGAGCUGUAACACUCACCGCGAAGGUCUGCAGCUUCACUCCUGAGCCAGCGAGACCACGAACCCACCAGAAGAAAGAAACUCCGAACACAUCCGAACACCAGAAGGAACAAACUCCAGACGCGCCAACUGUAACACUCACCGCGAGGAUCCGUGGCUUCAUUCUUGAAGUCAGUGAGACCAAGAACCCACCAAUUCCGGACACACUGUUAUUGUCUUCAGAAGGAGAGUAAAAAGAAUGCUGGGUAGAAGAAAUACCUGAAGAAAUAAUGGCCCAACCUCAAAUUUGGUGAAAGACAUAAACUUACAGAUUCAAGAAACUGAGUGUUCCCCAAACAGAAUAAACUUUAAAGAAUCCACACUCAAACACAUCAUAAUCAAACUUCUGAAAACUAACAACAAAGAAAAACUUAAAAUCAGCAAGAGAGAAACCACACAUUAUCAACUGAUGAAAAGUGACUCAAGUGACAGCAGAUUUAUAAUCAGAAACUUGAAGGACAGAAGGAAGAGGCAAAACAUUUUGAAAGCCCUAAAAGGAAAGAACUGUCAACCCAGAAUUCGACAUCCAGUAAAAAUAUCCGUCAAGAAUGAAUAUGAAGGAAAGCUAAGAAUGAAUAUAUCUUCUAUUUCUUUGCUAAAUUUUUCUACUUUUUCAUUUGAUGUAAGAGUGUUUAUAAGUGCUUAUGGAGCAUUUUUAUGAUAGUUGGUUUACAAUCCUUGUCUGAGAGUAGCUAUGUGAGAUGACGUAUAUAGUAAAUGGUGACUGUAGUAACCAUUUCACUACAUAUAAGUAUGUCAAAACAUGUUGUACACCUUAAAUAUACACAAAAAAUAGCUCUGACACAAAAAAUGCAUAGUUGUUAUUACCAUGUAUAAAUAAAAAUACUUGUAAGUUUAGAAAAUAAAAUCAUUGUCUGAUAAUUAUCUAAAUAAUAAAGUCCA